UUAAUAAAAUUAAAUAAAUGCAAAACAAUCUCAACAAUGUAAACUUUUACCUUUUUGAUAUUUUUUUUAUUCGUAAUGGUCAGGAUUCUGAUUUUUGAAUUUUGUUUAUUUUUAUAUCCUUCCAGCUCAUUUAGAGGCUAGUUUUGAGGAGAUAGAGAACAACAACCUGCUGCAUCUUGAAGACUUAUGUGGGCAGUGUGAAUUCGAAAGAUGCAAACAUAUGCAGUCCCAGCAACUGGAGAAUUACAAGAAAAAUAAGAGCAUGACCCUCCAGUGCCUUCAUCGGCCUCCAUAGAGCUCAUCCUGGUAGAGGACAUGAGAGUGAGCCUGGAAGAGGUGACCAUCUACAACCGUCUUGGCUUCCAGAUACAGCCCUUGCCCUGCCGGCUGCCUGGGUGGAGCUCCACUUCAGGAAAGACUCGGGUGACUUCUUCCUCAAUACCAGUGCUGCGGACAACAUCAAGAUGGCCUACCAGGAAAUGGGUCAUUGCGAUGUUCAUAGAUUGGUAUUUUAAAAGCUGUCACUUAAUGUCAUCAGAUUCUGCACAUUUGCUGCAGCUGUGACUUCCAGCCACUGCUCAAAGAUGAAGAUGAGGCUCAAAACUGGGCAGGGCAGGGAGGCCAGCCAAGGUCAGAACUGCAGAGCUGGCAGGUGUGUUCGUGUUGGGUGAGGCCAGCUUGUUGAAUGUUGCCAUGGCCCAUCCUCCUCAUUUGCCUCUGGGAAGCACAGGCGGAAACUGCAGAAACAGAACCUCCAUACAUACAUCUGAACAGCUGUAUCCUCAGGAAGACCUGGCUUAAGCAAUGACAUCAUGAAACUGGAAUUUCUUUCACUCUGGAGGAAGUGAAAAGAGCUGCAAACGGAUCUUUAGGGACUGGUUAUUAUUCCCUGUUUUAAUGGAUUUUUCGUUCAUCUUUUUUUUUUUUUUUUUUUGAGAUGGAGUCUUGCUUUGUUGCCAGGCUGGAGUGCAGUGGCGUGAUCUCGGCUUACUGCAACCUCCACCUCCUUGUUCAAAUGAUUCUCCUGCCUCAGUCUCCUGAGUAGCUGGGACUACAGGCGCACACCACCACACCUGGCUAAUUUUUGUAUUUUUAGUAUAGACGAGGUUUCACAUGUUAGCCAGAAUGGUCUCAAUCUCCUGUCUUUGUGAUCGACCCUCCUCAGCCUCCCAAAGUGCUGGGAUUACAGGCUUGAGCUACCGUGCCUGCCUCUUUUAUCUUAAAGUACAUUAAAAAUGUUGAUGUGGCAAUAUAAAUACCACCUUCCUCUUUUUUUUUUUUUUUUUUUUUUAAGCAAGAAGUCUCUUGAAUUUGUAUUUGUUUUGCUGUUUAAAAACAAAUCUCAGUCGGGCGUGGUGGCUCACACCUAUAAUCCCAACACGUUGGGAGGUUGAGGCAGACAGAUUGCCUGAGGUCAGGAGUUCAAGACCAGCCUGUACAACAUGGAGAAACUCUGUCUUCACUAAAAAUACAAAACUUAGCUGGGUAUGGUGGCGGGAGCCUGAAAUCCCAGCUACUCAGGAAGCUGAGGCAGGAGAAUCACUUGAACCUGGGAGGUGGAGGUUGUGGUGAGCCGAAAUUGUGCCAUUGCACUCCAGCCCGAGCAACAGGUGAAAUAAAUAAAUAAAUCUAAAUCUCUAAGGAAAGCCAAUGCAAAACAAGUUCUUCAGUGCUAUGGUCACUCAGUGAACUCUGGUUCUCAGCAAGCUCUGGCUGCCCAUGGAACUUCCCUUUGUGGGUUUUCAGAGGGCUGGGGAAUGGAAAUAAGUUGGUGCAGUUCUCUAGUUUGCUUGUUCUUUGCUGUACGGCACACUUACCUGCAGGCUUUUCACGCAUGGAUGGGCUGCUGAAUGUUCUGUCAUUGAAAGAUUUCCUCCAGACCCAGGAAUACUUCAAGAGCAGAGGCCAUUGGCACAAUCACCCCUUAUUCUGUCUGUGGAAGAAAGUUGCCAUCCACACAGAAAAUUAUAGUUUCUACACAUGUGGGUUUGGAAUUUGAACAACAAUUAUUUUAUUCUGGAAACGCUUUAUCAUCGCUUAAAAUGACAACUUCUUUCCUAGUUGUGAUUUCUCUUUGCCACAUUACCAGGAUGCACAGAAGGCACAGGGAGGAAAGCUCUGGGUUUGCCGCUUGCGAAACUCAAAAGCCACAUUAGGGAUGAGGCAGUCAUCAGAGCCAGCAUCUUGUCUGGAAAUAAUUACGCCUUGCUAACAAAGCUGUGGAAAUCUGCAAUGCACAAAAAUACAACAUUCAUGCAAACCCAAAUAAAGGGAAGAAAAUUCUAUUAUGUUUUGGAGACAGCUGUGCCUGAGACCCCUAGAGUGAAAGGAGCAAAAUUUUACCUAUGACCCACUGAUUCUAUUAGAAACCCUAGAGUCAAUGUCAUGUUCAUCACCCUAUUAGCAACAGAUUUAUGAGGAGAGAAGCUUCCAAAAAAGACUGCAGAAUUAUCUUUGUUGGUGCAGUUUGGGACUUUAAUUCUCAAAGUGUUAAAAUCUAUCUGGAUUCUUCUGGUAUGUUCCUUCUAUCUAUACAAGGAGCAUGUAACUUUUUAAAAAUGUAGACUUUGCAGAUCCCAUUAGUUAGGUGGGAAAUUGAGACACCAGAGAGGCAUGAGGUUCCUCAUUUAGUCUGGACUCAGGUCUUUUCUAAAUUAAAGGAAAUGUACCAUA